rnacentral:tRNA from 1 species
UGGGGGGUGGUCCAACGGCUACGACACCUGGUUUUGGUCCAGGGAAUCGGGGUUCAAUUCCCUGCCCCCCAG